GACGAGCGCUGGCGGCGUGCUUAACACAUGCAAGUCGUACGGUAAGGCCCUUUCGGGGGUACACGAGUGGCGAACGGGUGAGUAACACGUGAGUAACCUGCCCACAACUUUGGGAUAACGCUAGGAAACUGGUGCUAAUACUGGAUAUGUGCCCCUGCUGCAGGGUGGGGGUUGGAAAGCUCCGGCGGUUGUGGAUGGACUCGCGGCCUAUCAGCUUGUUGGUGGGGUAGUGGCCUACCAAGGCGGCGACGGGUAGCCGGCCUGAGAGGGUGACCGGCCACAUUGGGACUGAGAUACGGCCCAGACUCCUACGGGAGGCAGCAGUGGGGAAUAUUGCACAAUGGGCGCAAGCCUGAUGCAGCAACGCCGCGUGCGGGAUGACGGCCUUCGGGUUGUAAACCGCUUUCAGCAGGGACGAAGCUUUUUGUGACGGUACCUGCAGAAGAAGCACCGGCUAACUACGUG
rnacentral:rRNA from 1 species